CCCGAUCGGCCCAUUCCCAUCCCCCACCCCACACCUUCCGCAUCACCUCUAACGGAUCCCCCAACCACCUUCCGCCGCCGCCCCUGGCUCCGGCGCGGCUCCGGCCGCCGCCCCCCGACCCCGACACACCUCCUGCCACCGGCCAUCCUACCCCGAUGCCCACCCACUGCUGGACAACGGAGCCGCCGCCCCCACCGCUGCCGCCUCCUUCCAGCACAGGGCCUCCUCCUCCCGGCUAGCCACCGUUCCCGCAUCGUCCCGGCUCGCCUCCGCUGCCGCCGAGGUUCCCAGUCCCCUCCACCUGCCGCCGCUGCUUCUGACGACGCCCACGCCGUCAUCCUCCGCCACUACGAUCUGCCGCGACCACAUCCGCCGCCGCCAUCGUUCCCCUGGUCAUUUUUGCCACCGCCGUCUUCCCCCGACCACCUCCACCACCACCCUCCGCCCUGACCACCUCGCCUGCCCUCUGCCCGGACUACCUCCCUUCCACCCGCCCCAAACUUCCCCUCCGGCCUGACUUUCCAUGCACUCCAACGCGACCUUCCCUCCCCUCCGAUGCGGCCUUCCCUCUGCCCCUGUUUCUUCCACCGCGCCACCCUGGUCAGCCUGAUCUUCUUCCUGGCCAAAUCAAACCAACCACUGCCUGACUGUCUCGGCCCCGAGCGAACUCCGUCGGACUCCUCCCGAGCUCCGCCGCCCUUCUCCCCAUGAUCCGCCGCCCACUGCACCAGCGCCCCUGCUCCCCGAAGCCAUCGCCCAGGGGCAUUGCGCCAUCGGCAGGGCCUGUAGCACAGCACACCAUGCUCCUCAACUCUGGCAUCUUCACCUCCUAUGUUGGCAUCCCUCGUGUGUGACCUUCUUCAGGGCUUCUGAUCGACCUUCCCAUCGUCUCUUGCUUGAACCUGUGAAUCACUGUUUCCGGAUCAACUCUACUCCUUCAAGCGACAGAUUGAUGAAUAACUGUGUUGACGAAUCAACCAACUAUUCUUGAGCUACAAAGGGCCAAUAGUCACGUCCAUUAAUCAGGAAAGUUGAUGCUUCAUGUAUACAGCGGGCUUGUUAACUGAACUUCACUGUGUUGACUGAUUGAGUUGCAGGGGCUGUGGAGCAAGCAGUAUGGCAGCACACAAAUAUUGAAAUAAUGCGGGCAUGUGUGUCUGCGGAUUCGGAAAAUUUGAUGGAAAAGAUAAAUUUUGUGAAGUUUAGAGGACGACACGAUGCUCUCCAGCUGCGGGCACAUCGCCGAGUGGAAGCCAUCGAUGUCUAGAGGGAGGGACAGCGUCGGGGAGAGAAGCACGAUGACGAUGAUGAAGGCCAGAACGUACAGGCGGCGCUCCGGCAAGAGGCCGCGCUCGCCACCGGCCUCCUCCGCAUCUUCUUCCACGAGUGUUUCCAGUAGGGCUCAAUGUUUAUUAAAAAAAGAGCAAGACAUUUACACUUUUCUUCGGGAAGACAUUUGUAAGUCUGAACAUGGUGUUCCUUUUGACGACAUUUGAUUUUAAAAGAACUAUAUCUCAUCUGUCCACUUGUAUUCUUCUUCAGUAAAAAAAGAUGAAGUGCACCAA